rnacentral:rRNA from 1 species
ACAGAGGGGGCAAGCGUUGUUCGGAAUUACUGGGCGUAAAGGGCUCGUAGGCGGCCUGUUAAGUCGGACGUGAAAUCCCCGGGCUCAACCCGGGAGCUGCGUCCGAUACUGGCAGGCUUGAAUCCGGGAGAGGGAUGUGGAAUUCCAGGUGUAGUGGUGAAAUGCGUAGAUAUCUGGAGGAACACCGGUGGCGAAGGCGGCAUCCUGGACCGGUAUUGACGCUGAGGCGCGAAAGCCAGGGGAGCAAACGGGA